rnacentral:rRNA from 1 species
GACGGAAGGUGCAAGCGUUGCUCGGAAUCACUGGGCGUAAAGGGUGCGUAGGCGGCUUGGUAAGUUGGGUGUGAAAGCCCCGGGCUCAGCCCGGGAAGGGCACUCGAAGCUGCCGAGCUGGAGUGCCGGAGGGGAGAGUGGAAUUCCUGGUGUAGCGGUGAAAUGCGUAGAUAUCAGGAGGAAUACCGGUGGCGAAAGCGACUCUCUGGACGGCAACUGACGCUGAGGCACGAAAGCGUGGGGAGCAAACAGG